CUUUACCUCUGUUGUUUGAUACAACACUCAGAAUGAAGGGCUUCCACCACAUCUUCUCUCUAUUCCUACUGCUUCUUGUGGUUUCCUCAACAAUGGUGGUCGAAAUAAAGGCGCGUGAUCAUUGGCUACCAGAGCACACGUGUGUGAAGAUCAUUGGCUCAGGCAAGUGUAGUGAGGGCCCAUGCGCCGCGGCGUGCACCAAGGAGCGUAACGGUAACGGCGUGUGCUUUGACGGAGUUUGCCGCUGCUACUACUACUGCGAAGAGCCACCAAAAUAAUUAGCGUUUGAUUACGUGUUAUAGAUUGAAAGAUAAAUAAUAAUAAUAACAUUAUUUGCCUUUUUAAAUUAGAGAUUUGGGAUUGUUCCCGUCAUAAAAAGAGAGAACCAAAAAUUUAUAAUAAACGCAUUAAUUUUUUGGGUCAUAAUAUGUUAGUGAGUGGUAGCUAGUGUUAGCAUUUUGUUACUUGGAUCAUUGACUUGGUGAUGAGUUUGGCUCUUU